UGGGGAAUAUUGGACAAUGGACCGAGAGUCUGAUCCAGCAAUUCUGUGUGCACGAUGAAGUUUUUCGGAAUGUAAAGUGCUUUCAGUUGGGAAGAAAGAAAUGACGGUACCAACAGAAGAAGUGACGGCUAAAUACGUGCCAGCAGCCGCGGUAAUACGUAUGUCAUGAGCGUUAUCCGGAUUUAUUGGGCGUAAAGCGCGUCUAGGUGGUUAUGUAAGUCUGAUGUGAAAAUGCAGGGCUCAACUCUGUAUUGCGUUGGAAACUGUAUAACUAGAGUACUGGAGAGGUAAGCGGAACUACAAGUGUAGAGGUGAAAUUCGUAGAUAUUUGUAGGAAUGCCGAUGGGGAAGCCAGCUUACUGGACAGAUACUGACGCUAAAGCGCGAAAGCGUGGGUAGCAAACAGG
rnacentral:rRNA from 1 species